rnacentral:rRNA from 1 species
AUGAACGCUGGCGGCGUGCCUAAUACAUGCAAGUCGCGCGCACGGACGAGAAGCUUGCUUUUCUGAUGUUAGCGGCGGACGGGUGAGUAACACGUGGAUAACCUACCUAUAAGACUGGGAUAACUUCGGGAAACCGGAGCUAAUACCGGAUAAUAUUUUGAACCGCAUGGUUCAAAAGUGAAAGACGGUCUUGCUGUCACUUAUAGAUGGAUCCGCGCUGCAUUAGCUAGUUGGUAAGGUAACGGCUUACCAAGGCAACGAUGCAUAGCCGACCUGAGAGGGUGAUCGACCACACUGGAACUGAGACACGGUCCAGACUCCUACGGGAGGCAGCAGUAGGGAAUCUUCCGCAAUGGGCGAAAGCCUGACGGAGCAACGCCGCGUGAGUGAUGAAGGUCUUCGGAUCGUAAAACUCUGUUAUUAGGGAAGAACAUAUGUGUAAGUAACUGUGCACAUCUUGACGGUACCUAAUCAGAAAGCCACGGCUAACUACGUG